rnacentral:misc_RNA from 1 species
UCCGAGUUGACCCCGGCAGUCUUCUACGAGUCCCCGGCAUAAUCCGCUGGCAACAUAGAAUAAGGGUUGCGCUCGUUGCGGGACUUAACCCAACAUCUCACGACACGAGCUGACGACAGCCAUGCAGCACCUGUGCACGAUCUCCGAAGAGGGGCUCUCGUUUCUGAGAGCUUGCUCGUGCAUGUCAAGCCUAGGUAAGGUUCUUCGGGUCGCAUCGAAUUAAGCCGCAUGCUCCGCCGCUUGUGCGGGGACCCGUCAAUUCCUUUGAGUUUUAGCCUUGCGGCCGUACUCCCCAGGCGGGGCACUUAAUGCGUUAGCUGCGACACGGACGGAGUCGACACCGCCCACAUCUAGUGCCCAUCGUUUACGGCGUGGACUAC